GGAAACUAAGAAGAGCAAUUAAUGAACCUAAUUAAAAUUGGAGAGCUAGCAGGAGAGAUUAGUGCCAGGAUCAACGCUAAGUUGGGUGCAAUAAUCAGUAUAAUAGUUGAUGCGGGCUUGAACUAGGGCAGGCUGUUUGCCAUCACAUUCCACAGCGCCAUUAAUGGCUCGAAUUGUGGCUCCAAAUCCUUGACUUAUAACCGGACGAACAUUGUUUAUCCAAAACCACAGGGCAGUCUUGAAUGCAAGAACGGGGUCUGAGGCCACGCUUUCUGGCGAGUUUAAGCCGUCGAAUCCAAUGCUGUUUCCAGCAGCUCCAUAGUUGUAGUUCCACGUUAGCUGGAGCGGUCCACGACCAUAGUACUGUUUGUUGGGGUUGCAUGGAUAGUUUGUAAAGCUUG
rnacentral:lncRNA from 1 species